rnacentral:rRNA from 1 species
UCCGUAGGCGGGUCAUUAAGUCAGAGGUGAAAUCCCACAGCUUAACUGUGGAACUGCCUUAGAUACUGGUGAUCUUGAGUUUUAGUGAAGUAGAUAGAAUGUGUAGUGUAGCGGUGAAAUGCAUAGAUAUUACACAGAAUACCGAUUGCGAAGGCAGUCUACUAACUAACAACUGACGCUAAUGGACGAAAGCGUGGGGAGCGAACAGGAUUAGAUACCCUGGUAGUC